rnacentral:rRNA from 1 species
GCUAAAAACCUAGCUCAAUUUAUGCAAAUGCCUAAACCAACCCUCCCGAAAUCAAACAAAACAUUUAACUUUUUUAGUAAAGGCGAUUGAAAGAAUACUAGAAGCUAUAAUAAUAGUACCGCAAGGGAAAGGUGAAAUAAAAAUGAAAUAACUUUAAAGCAAAAUAAAGCAGAGAUUUAACCUCGUACCUUUUGCAUCAUGGUCUAGCUAGUCCAACCAAGCAAAACGCACUUACAGUUUGACCCCCCGAAACUAGGUGAGCUACUUCAAAACAGCCUUCAAGGGCCAACCCGUCUCUGUUGCAAAAGAGUGGGAAGAUUUUCAAGUAGAGGUGACAGACCUACCGAACCUAGAGAUAGCUGGUUAUUCAGGAAAAGGAUUUAAGUCCUGCCUUAAGCUUACCCUUAUUCCAAAAUAUUCCCAUAAGCCUAAGAGCCAUUCAAAUAAGGUACAGCCUAUUUGAAACAGGAUACAACCUCCAACACAGGGUAAUGAUAUUUUCAAAUGUGACUAAGUGGGCCUAAAAGCAGCCAACUUUUAAAUAGCGUUAAAGCUUCAUCACUUAACUAUACUAAUACCCAUAUAUUUACAAAACCCUUCAUCACUACUGAAUGACUCCAUAAUUAUAUGGAGAACACUAUGCUAGAACUAGUAACAAGAAGAAGACCUUCUCCAAAAUGUAAGUGUAAGCCAAAAUGAACACCUCACUGGCACUUAUCGUCUAUGAACCUAUAGUAGCAACACCUCAAGAAAACCCUACUACAAUUAUACGUUAACCUUACACCAGAACAUUACCGGAAAGAUUAAAAAAAGAGGAAGGAACUCGGCAAAUUUUAACCCCGCCUGUUUACCAAAAACAUCGCCUCCUGACAUAACUAUAGGAGGUCCAGCCUGCCCAGUGACAAAGUUAAACGGCCGCGGUACCCUAACCGUGCGAAGGUAGCGCAAUCACUUGUUCUUUAAAUGAGGACUAGUAUGAAUGGCAUCACGAGGGUUAUACUGUCUCCCUCUUUCAAUCAGUGAAACUGAUCUUCCCGUGAAGAAGCGGGAAUAUACCUAUAAGACGAGAAGACCCCAUGGAGCUUAAAACUCAGUAUCAACUGCCUUACUUACAAACCCUAUUAACCAGGCAGAUGUGACUACUAGUUUUCGGUUGGGGUGACCGCGGAGCAAAAUAAAACCUCCACGAUGAAAGGAACUAACCUCCUAAUCCAAGAGCUACUACUCUAAGAAUCAACAAAUUGACAUUUAUUGAUCCAAUUUUUUUGAUCAACGAACCAAGUUACCCUGGGGAUAACAGCGCAAUCCAUUUCAAGAGCCCCUAUCGACAAAUGGGUUUACGACCUCGAUGUUGGAUCAGGGUAUCCCAGUGGUGCAGCCGCUACUAAAGGUUCGUUUGUUCAACGAUUAAAACCCU